CUGUGUGUUGUUGGGUAGGGGAGCGUUCUGUAAGCCUGUGAAGGUGUGCUGUGAGGCAUGCUGGAGGUAUCAGAAGUGCGAAUGCUGACAUAAGUAACGAUAAAGCGGGUGAAAAGCCCGCUCGCCGGAAGACCAAGGGUUCCUGUCCAACGUUAAUCGGGGCAGGGUGAGUCGACCCCUAAGGCGAGGCCGAAAGGCGUAGUCGAUGGGAAACAGGUUAAUAUUCCUGUACUUGGUGUUACUGCGAAGGGGGGACGGAGAAGGCUAUGUUGGCCGGGCGACGGUUGUCCCGGUUUAAGCGUGUAGGCUGGUUUUCCAGGCAAAUCCGGAAAAUCAAGGCUGAGGCGUGAUGACGAGGCACUACGGUGCUGAAGCAACAAAUGCCCUGCUUCCAGGAAAAGCCUCUAAGCAUCAGGUAACAUCAAAUCGUACCCCAAACCGACACAGGUGGUCAGGUAGAGAAUACCAAGGCGCUUGAGAGAACUCGGGUGAAGGAACUAGGCAAAAUGGUGCCGUAACU
rnacentral:rRNA from 1 species